rnacentral:lncRNA from 1 species
GCCUAAGCUGUCCUCCCAUCAGCCCUUUUGAGGGCCUCCAGCGCGGUGUGUAGCUCCAUCUGGAGGGACCUGGAAUGUUCUCGGGCAGCCGCGAGAUUGCCCCGGGCAUCACUGGUUGCAGACAGGUUCUCCUCCAGACGUGCCUCCUCAAUCCGGCGAUCCACAGACUCCCGGAGAGAGUGGUCACGAGCAUCCACCUCCAUGAAGAGGCCCAUCACCU